rnacentral:tRNA from 1 species
CGGAACGUAGCUCAAAGGUAGAGCAGGGAAUAUGGCGGCCGAGGAAGCCCCGAUGCAGGUUCAAGUCCUGUCGUUCUGA